rnacentral:sRNA from 1 species
UAUUCUGCCCCAUGGGGAAGGAUGAGAAGCUUCGACCAAGGUUCGACUCGAGCGAAGCGAGAAAACGUUGCCGCAGGCAACGGCCCGAAGGGCGAAGCGCUUUAGCGCCGAGUAAUCCUUCCCCCACCACUG